rnacentral:rRNA from 1 species
CAAGCGUUGUCCGGAUUUAUUGGGCGUAAAGAGCUCGUAGGUGGUUCGGUAAGUCGGAUGUGAAAUCUCCAGGCUCAACCUGGAGGGGUCAUUCGAUACUGCCGUGACUAGAGGUCGGUAGGGGAGUGUGGAAUUCCUGGUGGAGCGGUGAAAUGCGCAGAUAUCAGGAGGAACACCCGUAGCGAAGGCGGCACUCUGGGCCGAUACUGACGCUGAGGAGCGAAAGCGUGGGGAGCGAACAGG